CAAGCCUGACGGAGCAAGACCGCGUGGGGGAGGAAAGCCUUUGGGUUGUAAACCCCUUUUCUCAGGGAAGAAGAAAGUGACGGUACCUGAGGAAUCAGCCUCGGCUAACUCCGUGCCAGCAGCCGCGGUAAUACGGAGGAGGCAAGCGUUAUCCGGAAUGAUUGGGCGUAAAGCGUUCGUAGGUGGCAAUUCAAGUCUGCUGUCAAAGACAGUAGCUCAACUACUGCAAGGCAGUGGAAACUGAAUAGCUAGAGUGCGGUAGGGGCAGAGGGAAUUCCCGGUGUAGCGGUGAAAUGCGUAGAGAUCGGGAAGAACACCGGUGGCGAAAGCGCUCUGCUGGGCCGCAACUGACACUGAGGGACGAAAGCUAGGGGAGCGAAUGGGAUUAGAUACCCCUGUAGUC
rnacentral:rRNA from 1 species